UUUGCAACUAGGUUUUUGUGGUAUCUCUGGUGCCAAGACACCAUAGAAUUCCCUUAGAAUUUAGAAUUAGAAAUCAGAAUUCCCUUGGGUUUAGAUGAGUGUUUUCAAAGGGCUAACUGGAAGGACCCUAAUAUAAAAGAUGCCAAGGGCCAUCACACAAAAAUAAGGGAAUCCUGGAAGGAGUAUCAUGGUUGUUAUUGAAUAUGAGUUGCUACAGAGACAGCAGAGAAGACUGACUUGAGAAACGUUUGGAAAAAAUAACUCAACAUUGGAAGUUGUUGGUACAUUCAUGAAGGCACACUGCUACGCACCCCAAAUAACAGACGAAUAAGGCAUGCUCCAUACCCUGAAAAAGCUCACAGGCCAGAGCACGAGGAAUGCAAUCUUCCAGGAGAGAAACAACACAGCAGAGAGGUAGACCUGAGGUCCAGCCCAGUCCUGCUACAUGGUCAUUGAAAAUGGAAGUCUUCUUGGGACAUCGACAAAUGCUGGAGGGGCUAAUUCACAAAUAAAUCACCAAAGAAGGGAAAAUGAGGGGAAAGUGGUGAGAAGACUGUUGGUUGACAGGAGACAGCCAUAAAAUAGAGAUUUGGCUUCACAUUUCUUUUUGGUUUUGCAACAUUUAAGCAGCCUACAUUAAGCACCUAGUAUGUGCCUGACAUUGUGUUUCCCACCAGCGGUAUAGUCACCAUUCAGGAAUGGUCGCUGCUCCCGAGUUACUUUUCCUGUGAGGCAGCUGGGCUCGUGGGAAUAAUGGUUCCUGACACUCUUCUCUCCUCUCCCCUGCCACCACAGCCUAAGAUCCUUACCCUACCUAACCUACUGGUCCAAGCCAUCCUCUCAUCCCUGGAUUACUGCAACAGUCUCCUAAAAGCCUCCCUGAUUCUGUAGUCUGUUGUAACAGUAGGUAUUAUUUUGGUGCAAACAUAAUCAUCUCCCCUUGGCUCAAAACUCUCCAGUAUCUUUUAAAAAAUGUUUUUAAGAUUAUUUAUGUAUUUUGAGAGACAGUGAGAGCUGGGGAUGGGCAGAGAGAGAGA